GUACGAGCGAAGUCGCAUGCCCUCCAGCGAGAACGACUCGCACGCUAGACUCCCUGCCCUCGUUCGUCGCCGCCUUCAUCCCUUCGCCUCCGCCGCCCUUCAUCCCUUCGCCGCCGCACUCGGUCUCACAUCAAAGGCGCCCCACUCGCGGGAGAGGAUGAGCUGAUCUCCAUGGCCAGAUGAGGGAGGAAUACGGGUGACGGGAUGGAUUUGGAUCUCAAGGCGGGGAGGCCAACGUAGCCGCCCCUAGCGCGUCGAGCGAAAGCGAAGGAUUUGGAUCUCAUGGAUUUGGCUGCGUCGACCAGCAGAGGACCGCCGCCGGCUCAGCUCCUCCACCACGAAGCAACCUCCUUCCACCCCAUAGCCGCCGCCCAAAACCCUAGCAAUCGAGCCCCACCCAUGGCGCCCUAGGUGGUACAGCGGCCAGAGGAGAGGAGAGGAGGUGGAGCAGCCAUCGCCUGGACGUGAGCGGUGAAUGGGCAGCGCGGGCGUUGAGCAGGAUCAUGGGGGAGCAGGGGAGGCCAGAGGCUGCUCACCAUAUACAUCGCCAUCCAUAGCCGCCCUCGUCCGCCAAGAAGCUGAGGAGGGAGGCUGACCUCCAGUGACCACUCUGCACCGCUCUGGACGACACCCUCCCCCACCAGAGAGAAAGUGCAAAAGCUAUGGGCAAUCCUAUAUGACUGGCGCCAUCAGUAAGGAUUUAUUUAAAGCUAGCUUACUUUUGGGUCUAAGCCAAGUUUAUUUCUUUCGCAGAUUUAUUCACCUUAUUGGGACGGUGGGGUUAAUAUAUAUACAUCAACUUUGAGCAUCAGCAACGCAUGAAGCUUGCUUCUGAGGCUGCAACAUACUUUGCAAUCCCCCUGUGAAACAUACUUUUGUCACUAUGCACAUAUGGUUAUUCGAACAGAUUGAUUUCGAUUAGACUAUCUUUUUCCUAAUUACUUGUUAUAUGAUGUUCUUUACUAUUCAGAGGUUGUUGAAGGGAGAUGGGGCUCUUCAGGCCCCUUUGGUGCAAAAGCACAAGCAACAACAUCUACAGCUGACCACUUAUAGCCUAGGAUGUCCUGCAGAUUUGAUCUAUUUUGGAUAGAGUACAUGGAAUCAAACCACAGGUAAUCAAUUUGCUAUAUUCAUGUGAUUAGCUAUAAGGAAUUUAUUACCUCUGUUUUAUUUGCAGGAUACCCAAGCAGUGCGUACAAAUUGUAGUGGUGCUUGUAGCUUAUCAUCAAUCUGCCAUUAUUAUUUGUAUGUAUGUGUUCAAAAUGACCACCUAGAGAUUCUUGAUUUGCUCCUGGCUGCACCGUUGGGUUUCUCGCGGCUUUGUUUCGUUUGAGUUCUAUUGUUCAAAAUUGAAUUUGUUGAUGCUUAGAGUUUGGACUGGUCCGUUUGAUACGUCUGCACUCGUGAUGCGGAACAUUUUCCAACAUAGUGUGGGUUCAGAAGUGAGGAAAACAAUUGGCUUGCAGGGUUCAGGCUACUUUCUUGUGCUUGUUUUGCCUUGUGAUUACUUGAAACUGCAACCUGCAGGUUGAAUGGGCGCUUUAUAUUUUAGGGCGGAAGACUGAAGCAAUGAAAACUGCGGCUCUUUAGUAUAUCUUCAGAUUUGCGGCUCUUUGAGCCGUGGUACAUUUGAUUUGAGACCCGGAUGAGGUCGGUUAAAUUAGGAUUAAAGUCCGCACAAUAACUAGGAACACUGAACAAGCAAGGCUAUUCAGAUGAAGUCUGCACUUAAUACUAUAGGUUUCUUUUUGGGCUCUUGUACAGCUUCGCUAGCAUCAUGAAUUAAUUGUGGGAUAUGAUGCACAGUAGUAGCUUCUUCUGUUUAUUUUAGAAAUCUUAGUUUAUAGGUUUCCUUUUCGUCUCUUGUACUAAUGUUCAGGGUAAUGGAAAUCUUGUAUGAUAAUCUGCACAUAGUUGAUACUAACAAUAGAAUGAUGACAUGUUUGUUUUUGGGCAUAAAGUUAUGUGCUGAUCCUCUUGCAUUUGGAUUCCGGUCUUACCCUGACUAUGCGGAUAUGCUAUUCUAUGUUGGUUUUACGUUUCUUAUUGGAAGAGUGAGAUGCCCAGGACAGAAUCCAGUUUGUAUCAACGCCUCAUUGAAUAGAAUCAUGUAGAUUCUGCUUCAUACAAGCUUCAUAAAGAAAUAGUUUUAAGGGAGGACUUCAAAGAGUAUUUUGCCAAAUUUGGUAAAGUGCGGGGAUGGAGGGCAGUCAGCAUCCACCUUGAGGCAGAGGGGUGGGCAGAAGGAUGGUCGGUGUUCAACUCUCUACGGUUCAAAACCAAGUCCAUCCAAGCCUCAAAGUAUAAAGAAGGCGCCUAGACACUCGAUGGGUGGUGUAAACCGUAGGGUGUCCAUUGGUGGAGCCACGAUGCAAGCAUCCAAAACAGACAUAUUGUAUACGAAGAAUGUUCAUGCUGCCAAGAGAAGUGAAGACAUUGCCCAUUUGUCCCCUGGGUGGGCGUGUAACUAGAGAACAAAACACUAUGGCGGCAAAUGAGACUAUCGAACCGAACUGAUUGUACUGAAAACUAGGACCUAAACUUGUGCUGCUGGCCAACCUUUUCUUCAGGGAAUGCCAAGAUAUUCGCCAAACAAAGCCAUAGGAUGGUGCUAUACACAGAGGACAACCUAUCAGGAAGUCGGGCUCCAGUGUGUUUGGGUCAGCGUCCACGGAGGAGCAGAUAACUGACGGCAUUUACGCUGCCGGGCUCACUAUCCUCAUCACACGUGACCACAACCCACCCAACCAACUGUUACAAUGGUCGUGGAGCUUCUUGGAUUAAACUUGCAAAGAGUAGUACUGGAAAGCUUCAUUUUCGUAAGAUGCUCUUGUAAUUCCGAGUAGAAGAAAGCAAAGCCAACAAGGGUCGUUAGAAAUUAUUAGUACUCUACAAAAUUUGUAACACAUCAUAUUAAUUGGGAACUCAAAUCUUGGUUGCAAAAAUUAGAUAUGUGCUAUAAAUGCAGGCAAUACAAAAGGUAGGAAGACCAUACGAAGACCAAUACAAAAAGGAGGAUGCAUGAGCUUCAGAUCUGAUUGAAUUUAGUCAGAAGAUGGAGACUUGAAGGAGGAAUUAGUGGAGAAUGGGAAGGUGGAUAGAACAUGGGAACAAAUCAAAUACGUGUAGCCAGCCAGGCCCACGUCUGCCAAGACUCCAUCGUCGUUCCCAUACAGCUGCCAGCCCAACCAGCUGGGUAGGCACCUGUGUGGUGACGCGCGGCCUCCAGGCCAACUCAGCAAGCACCUACAUGGUGACAUGCAAAUCUUCGUGAAGACUCUGCAACCGCGCCAGCCCAGCAGCCAGCCAACGUGGCACUACAACGCCUCAUCAGCUCGGACGCGCGUCGGAGCCAGGCGAGGCGGCGACAGCUGGGACGAGCUUCCUUGCCGUCCCCGAUAAAGCAAGAAGGGCAUGCCAGCAGCGCAUUAAAUGCGUUUGUCCGACGGUGCCAGAGGAUAGACUUAACCACUGUGUACCUUUCCACCUCCCGUAUGCAACUGUGGUGACCCCUUUUGACUAUAAAAGGAGGCCCGAGGCGUACUGGAGAAGGAUUCGGAUCUUUUGGACUACGCACGCACCACAGCUAGUUCGAGAGCUCAAGAACACUCAAAUAUACACCAAAGCAGGAUUAGGGUUUUACGCA
rnacentral:rRNA from 1 species